AACAAGAGGUGACCGGGCGGGACUGCGCUGGGCUCGGCGCGGCGAGCGCGGCAACGCGAUGACGUCACUGACGACGGACUGCGUGGGCGGGGUCUUACUUUGAACCCAGUUGGCGGGAGUUGUGGCUCGGAAAGGGCCCUAGCUGAUGCUGCCGGCUUCCGUCUGGGCUGGCUUACGAUGGAGCCCACUGCGGGGAGCGAGAAGGAGAGUGAAGGAGACGCGAUGACAGGGAAGUGCGUGAAUAGGAUCCUGGUGCCAAGACCUCCCUCCAUUGAGGAAUUCACCAUAGUGAAGCCCAUUAGCCGUGGCGCCUUUGGGAAGGUGUAUCUCGGGCAGAAAGGCAGCAGGUUGUAUGCUGUGAAGGUUGUCAAAAAAGCAGAUAUGAUCAACAAAAAUAUGACUCAUCAGGUACAAGCUGAGAGGGAUGCACUAGCACUGAGCAAAAGUCCUUUCAUUGUCCAUUUGUAUUAUUCACUACAGUCAGCAAACAAUGUCUACUUGGUAAUGGAAUAUCUUAUUGGUGGAGAUGUCAAGUCUCUCCUACAUAUAUAUGGUUAUUUUGAUGAAGAGAUGGCUGUGAAAUAUAUUUCUGAAGUAGCCUUGGCUCUAGACUAUCUUCACAGACACGGAAUCAUCCACAGGGAUUUGAAACCAGACAAUAUGCUUAUUUCUAAUGAAGGUCAUAUUAAACUAACAGAUUUUGGCCUUUCCAAAGUUACUUUGAAUAGAGACAUCAAUAUGAUGGAUAUCCUUACAACACCAUCAAUGGCUAAACCUAGACAAGAUUAUUCAAGAACCCCAGGACAAGUGUUAUCUCUCAUCAGCUCUUUGGGAUUUUACACACCAGUUGCAGAAAAAAAUAAAGACUCUGCAAAUAUUAUUUCAACCCAUGUAUCUGAAACAUCGCAGCUUUCUCAAGGACUAAUUUGUCCUAUGUCUGUAGAUCACAGGGACACUUUUCCUUAUUCUAGCAAACUACUAAACUCAUGUCUUGAAACAGUUGCCUCCAAUCCCGGGAUGCCUGUGAAGUGCCUAACGUCUAAUCUCCUGCAGUCCAGGAGAAGGCUGCCUACAUCCAGUGCCAGCAGCCAGUCCCACACCUUCAUAUCCAGUGCGGAGUCUGAGUGCCACAGCAGCCCCCGAUGGGAGAAGGACUGCCAGGAAAGUGACGAUGCACUGGGCUCUACAGUGAUGAGUUGGAAUAUAAUAGAAAAGCCUUCAUGUACAAAAUCUACCGAUUCCAUUGAAACCAAAGAUUUCAAUAAAAAGGAUCUUGAGUUAGUGCUUUCUCCCAUUCAUAACAGCAGUACCAUUCCUGAGACUGGAAGCUCUUGUGUAAACCUGGCUAAAAAAUGCUUCCCCGGGGAAGUUUCUUGGGAAGCAAAAGAACUGGAUAUAAAUAAUAUUCAUGUGGCCACUGACACAGCACAGUCUGGUUUUCACCAGUCAGAGGAGUGGGCUGUGGAUUCUGGUGAUAGGACUGAAGAGCACCUCGGAAAAAGAGGUUUUAAAAGAAAUUUUGAGUUAGUUGACUCUAGUCCUUGGCAGAACAUCAUACAGAAUAAAAAAAACUGUAUAGAGCAGAAGUCUAGAAAUGAAAUGAGCGAUGAUUAUAUAAAUCAAAGGACAGGCUUAACAACUGAAGUCCAAGACCUGAAGCUAUUGGUAUGUGGUCAGCAAAGUGACUGUGCUGAUAAGGAGAACAUGGUCAAUUCUUUCAUUGAUAAACCACACACCCCAGAAAAAUCACCUACCCCGAUGAUAGCAAAAAACCUUCUGUGUGAACUGGAUGAGGAUUGUGACAAGAAUAACAAGAAGGACCUCCUAAGUUCUAGUUUUCUAUGUUCCGACGAUGAGAGAGCUUCUAAAAGUAUUUGUAUAGACUCCGAUUCAUCUUUUCCCGGAAUUUCUAUCAUGGAAAGUUCAUUAGAAAGGCAUUCCUUAGAUCCAGAUAAAAGCAUCAAAGAAUCCUCUUUUGAAGAAUCAAACAUUGAAGACCUACUUACCGUAUCACCCAGCUGGCAGGAAAAUACCUUGCCGAAAGGUGAUGAGAAUCCUGCUGUCCAAGGCAGUAGCCAAAAAAUGUUAGCUCCGUCUUCGGAGGUGUUGAAAACAUUAACCUUAUCUAAAAGAAAUGCUGUAGCUUUUCGAAGUUUUAACAGUCAUAUCAAUGCGUCCAAAAACUCAGAACCAUCCGAAAUGAGCAUUACCUCUUUAGAUGGAAUGGAUAUUUCCUGUGUUUAUAGUGGUUCAUAUCCCAUGGCUAUAACCCCUAAUCAAAAAGGAACAUCCUAUAUGCCAUAUCAGGUCCUGCAGUAGACUGGUGGGCACUUGGAGUUUGCUUGUUUGAGUUUCUAACAGGAAUUCCUCCUUUCAAUGAUGAAACACCACAACAAGUAUUCCAAAAUAUUCUGAAAAGAGAUAUCCCUUGGCCUGAAGGUGAAGAAAAGUUAUCUGAUAAUGCUCAAAAUGCAGUAGAAAUACUUUUAACUAUUGAUAAUGCAAAGAGAGCUGGUAUGAAAGAGCUGAAACGUCAUCCUCUCUUCAGUGAUGUGGACUGGGAAAAUCUGCAGCAUCAAACUAUGCCUUUCAUACCCCAACCAGAUGACGAAACAGAUACAUCCUAUUUUGAAGCCAGAAAUAAUGCUCAGCACCUGACUGUAUCUGGAUUUAGUCUAUAGCACAUAAAUUUCCUUUUAAUCUAAUCUUGGCUUAUAAGCUAUCAUAAUUAUAUACUCCUUCAUAAGAGAUUGAUCUAAGGGGGAAAAAGAAUCAUUAUGUUACUUGGAUCAAUGAGUUUUUAAUGUAUGUUACAGCUUCCACAAAGUUAAAAUUCUCUCAAGAACACAGUAACUUAUCUUAAUUUCAGAGUUGUAUAUAGAUCUUCAAAACUUCUUUCACUUUAUUUUGUUACCGCACUUUAUGAAAAUUCAUGCAUCAAUAAAACUAGAAUGACACUACUCUGUUAGAAGAGGAACAAGCUUUGAGCCUUUCUUUCACGUGUUGAUUUCAGUCCACCAUUCAGUUUGAUGUUAAAAUAACAAAAUCAUACGGUUUUAUUGUAAUUUAUUUGGACAUGAUUGCCUGCAAAAGCUGAAGUCUCGAGAGCAAUCAUUUAAGCUUGCACUUGUGGCCUCAAAACUGCAGCUGGGAAAUUCCUUCACUCGGUAGUGUAACUCCUUUAGGGAAUGAGGAAUAAAAAGGAGAGAGGCUUUAGCUAACCUUACUUUGAAACAGUCUUGCUGCCUUGACUACUUCUGGUGCUUUCUCUACAAUACAUAUUUGCUUAACAUUGUACUGGAGAGCUUAGGUGUGAUAUGCUGUAGCAAUUUUAAUGGCUUAUUCAAUUUUAAUAAAACAUGAUGGUUUACAUCUUAAAAGAAUUUGUUUAAAACAUGUGCAACAU